rnacentral:rRNA from 1 species
UACGUAGGUGGCAUGCGUUGUCCGGAAUUAUUGGGCGUAAAGCGCGCGCAGGCGGUCCUUUAAGUCUGAUGUGAAAGCCCACGGCUCAACCGUGGAGGGUCAUUGGAAACUGGGGGACUUGAGUGCAGAAGAGGAAAGCGGAAUUCCACGUGUAGCGGUGAAAUGCGUAGAGAUGUGGAGGAACACCAGUGGCGAAGGCGGCUUUCUGGUCUGUAACUGACGCUGAGGCGCGAAAGCGUGGGGAGCAAACAGG